UACGUAGGGUGCGAGCGUUAAUCGGAAUUACUGGGCGUAAAGCGUGCGCAGGCGGUUUCGCAAGCCAGAGGGGAAAGCCCCGGGCUCAACCUGGGAAUUGCAUUUGAAACUACGAGGCUAGAGUGUGUCAGAGGGGGGUAGAAUUCCACGUGUAGCAGUGAAAUGCGUAGAGAUGUGGAGGAAUACCGAUGGCGAAGGCAGCCCCCUGGGAUAACACUGACGCUCAUGCACGAAAGCGUGGGGAGCAAACAGG
rnacentral:rRNA from 1 species